rnacentral:rRNA from 1 species
GACGAACGCUGGCGGCGUGCUUAACACAUGCAAGUCGAACGGUGACGGAGGAGCUUGCUCCUCCUGAUCAGUGGCGAACGGGUGAGUAACACGUGAGCAAUCUGCCUCUGACUCUGGGAUAACUGCGGGAAACUGUAGCUAAUACCGGAUACGACGCGCGAAGGCAUCUUCUGCGCGUGGAAAGAAUUUCGAUCAGGGAUGAGCUCGCGGCCUAUCAGCUUGUUGGUGAGGUAAUGGCUCACCAAGGCGACGACGGGUAGCCGGCCUGAGAGGGUGACCGGCCACACUGGGACUGAGACACGGCCCAGACUCCUACGGGAGGCAGCAGUGGGGAAUAUUGCACAAUGGGCGCAAGCCUGAUGCAGCAACGCCGCGUGAGGGACGACGGCCUUCGGGUUGUAAACCUCUUUUGGCAGGGAAGAAGCGAAAGUGACGGUACCUGCAGAAAAAGCACCGGCUAACUACGUG